UACAGAGGGUGCGAGCGUUAAUCGGAAUUACUGGGCGUAAAGCGCACGUAGGUGGCUUUGCAAGUCGAUUGUGAAAUCCCCGGGCUUAACCUGGGAACUGCAGUCGAGACUGCUCUGCUUGAGUAUGGGAGAGGGAGGUGGAAUUUCCGGUGUAGCGGUGAAAUGCGUAGAUAUCGGAAGGAACAUCAGUGGCGAAGGCGACCUCCUGGACCAAUACUGACACUCAAGUGCGAAAGCGUGGGGAGCGAACAGG
rnacentral:rRNA from 1 species